CAAAACGGUAUACUUUUAAGAAUCAACCUGAGACUUCCCUGUGUGUUCAUCCCAAGUGUGGGCUUGAGGGAAUUUCCAGAUUUUUCUCAACGCACAGUGCCCCAGCAGACUGCAUCACUGAGCAGCACCACAGUGACGUUAACUUUGAAGGCUAAGCUUUCAAAGCAAGCCUUACCCACCCUUGCCAUAGAAAAUUCUCAGACAUGCAGUCAUUAAAUGAGCUGACUUAAAGCAAAAGACUCAGGGUGCGAAAAGGAACACAUGUCAGUUUGUUUGUGGAAAAUAAAUAAUUAUAGUUAGGCUUCCUCUCCCAGGAUGGAACUCCAACCUCGAAAACAUUUGAACACGUGACCAGUGAAAUUGGAGCAGAGGAAGCUGAGGAAGUUGGAGUUGAACACUUGUUACGAGAUAUCAAAGACACGACGGUGGGCACUCUGUCCCAGCGGAUCACAAACCAGGUCCAUGGUUUGAAGGGACUGAACUCCAAGCUUCUGGAUAUCAGGAGCUACCUGGAAAAAGUCGCCACAGGCAAGCUGCCCAUCAACCACCAGAUCAUCUACCAGCUGCAGGACGUCUUCAACCUGCUGCCAGACGUCAGCCUGCAGGAGUUUGUCAAGGCCUUUUACCUGAAGACCAACGACCAGAUGGUGGUAGUGUACUUGGCCUCGCUGAUCCGUUCCGUGGUCGCCCUGCACAACCUCAUCAACAACAAGAUUGCCAACCG
rnacentral:sRNA from 1 species